rnacentral:rRNA from 1 species
AUCAUUCACAAUGGGCGAAAGCCUGAUGGUGCAACGCCGCGUGGGGGAUGAAGGUCUUCGGAUCGUAAACCCCUGUCACCAGGGACUAAACGGCAAAUGUUAAUAGCAUUUGUCCUGCAUUAACCUGGAGAGGAAGCAGUGGCUAACUCUGUGCCAGCAGCCGCGGUAAUACAGAGACUGCAAGCGUUAUUCGGAUUCACUGGGCGUAAAGGGUGCGCAGGCGGUCAGGUGUGUCAGAUGUGAAAGCUCCGGGCUUAACCCGGAAAUUGCGUCUGAAACUAUCUGGCUAGAGUAUUGGAGAGGGAAGCGGAAUUCUCGGUUUAGCGGUGAAAUGCGUAGAUAUCGAGAGGAACACCAAAGGCGAAGGCAGCUUCCUGGACAAUUACUGACGCUCAUGCACGAAAGCGUGGGUAGCGAAAGGG